rnacentral:tRNA from 1 species
GGAGCUGUGGCUCUGUGGUAGAGUGCUCAUCUGGCAUGUGUGAGGCACUGGGUUCAAUCCUCAGCACCA